ensembl:snRNA U1 U1 spliceosomal RNA
AUACUUACCUGGCAAGGGAGAUACCAUGAUCAAGAAGGUGGUUCACCCAUAGCGAGGCUCAGCCAUUGCACUGAGGCUGUUGCUGACCCGUGCGAAUUCCCCAAAUGUGGGAAUCUCGAUUGCAUAAUUUCUGGUAGUGGGGGACUGCGUUCGCGCUCUCCCCUG